GAUGAAGAACGUAGUGAAAUGCGAUAAGUAGUGUGAAUUGCAGAAUUCAGUGAAUCAUCGAAUCUUUGAACGCACAUUGCGCCCCUUGGUAUCCCGAGGGGCAUGCCUGUUCGAGCGUCAUUUCACCACUCAAGCCUGGCUUGGUGUUGGGCGACGUCCCCUUUAGGGACGCGCCUCGAAACGCUCGGCGGCGCGGCACCGGCUUUAAGCGUAGCAGAAUCUUUCGCUUUGGAAGUCGGGGCCCCGCCUGCCGGAAUAUCUACUUGUAAGGUUGACCUCGGAUCAGGCAGGGAUACCCGCUGAACUUAAGCAUAUCAAUAAGCGGAGGA
rnacentral:misc_RNA from 1 species